rnacentral:rRNA from 1 species
AGUCGUAACAAGGUCUCCGUAGGUGAACCUGCGGAGGGAUCAUUACACAAAUAUGAAGGCGGGCUGGAACCUCUCGGGGUUACAGCCUUGCUGAAUUAUUCACCCUUGUCUUUUGCGUACUUCUUGUUUCCUUGGUGGGUUCGCCCACCACUAGGACAAACAUAAACCUUUUGUAAUUGCAAUCAGCGUCAGUAACAAAUUAAUAAUUACAACUUUCAACAACGGAUCUCUUGGUUCUGGCAUCGAUGAAGAACGCAGCGAAAUGCGAUAAGUAGUGUGAAUUGCAGAAUUCAGUGAAUCAUCGAAUCUUUGAACGCACAUUGCGCCCUUUGGUAUUCCAAAGGGCAUGCCUGUUCGAGCGUCAUUUGUACCCUCAAGCUUUGCUUGGUGUUGGGCGUCUUGUCUCUAGCUUUGCUGGAGACUCGCCUUAAAGUAAUUGGCAGCCGGCCUACUGGUUUCGGAGCGCAGCACAAGUCGCACUCUCUAUCAGCAAAGGUCUAGCAUCCAUUAAGCCUUUUUUUCAACUUUUGACCUCGGAUCAGGUAGGGAUACCCGCUGAACUUAAGCAUAUCAAUAGAAGUAAAAGUCG